rnacentral:lncRNA from 1 species
CGUCCAGCUUGAGGGGGACCCUCCUGACUGGGAACCAUGACCUGGUCACUUAUCUGUCAUCACAAAAAAGUUUUGGAUCUGGAAAGACAAAGAUUUACUGAAAGACUAAGGAUUCUACCGACUUUUGCCCUGAGGCUCGAGGGACCUCUCAGGAUGGUACUAGCUCACUCAGUUUGCAGACAGGUCAGUUGCUGCAUUCUGGCAUCCAGGAAUCCAGGACACUGAUUUUGGACCCUCUGUUGUUUACCUUCCAAGAAGGAAUUGGCUGAUUCGGAACUGCUUGGCUAUUUACAAAAGUUAGACGCUGUUGUUUACAGUGAAGUUUUCCUCACUGGAUGGGACUUCGUCCCUAUUUAUUUUGCAUUGAUAUGGACUGCUCACUACAACAUUAGCUGCUGCAUGCUUCAUAAUGAGACUGGACUGUUCAUGGGUAAGGAGAUAAUGUGUGCUGGGAGUUGAAAGCUGUACUACUGAUGGCAGGGGAAGAUUUUUGGUCACGCUGCACCGUACAGCUUAAUAGAUUCCUGAUAUUUUUGGAGGCUGAUUUUACCAUCAAAGAAUUCACCCAAGAUGAAGAAAGAAGAAAUAGGUAUGUGCUACGGAAGGAGCCAAGUGAUUCUGCUUUCUCCAGUCAUUUUGAGGGUAUGGGGGAACAAUUUGAGAAUCAACAGUGA